AUUCCAUGAGGCGGGCAUUUUCUCAACAUUUCUUUGUAUCUUUCCCAAGCAUUGUAUAAAAAUUCAGACUCUAUCUGUGUAAAGGAGGAUAUGUCAUUCCUCAACUU